GCUUAACACAUGCAAGUCGAGGGGCAGCAUGGUCUUAGCUUGCUAAGGCCGAUGGCGACCGGCGCACGGGUGAGUAACACGUAUCCAACCUGCCGUCUACUCUUGGACAGCCUUCUGAAAGGAAGAUUAAUACAAGAUGGCAUCAUGAGUCCACAUGUUCACAUGAUUAAAGGUAUUCCGGUAGACGAUGGGGAUGCGUUCCAUUAGAUAGUAGGCGGGGUAACGGCCCACCUAGUCUUCGAUGGAUAGGGGUUCUGAGAGGAAGGUCCCCCACAUUGGAACUGAGACACGGUCCAAACUCCUACGGGAGGCAGCAGUGAGGAAUAUUGGUCAAUGGGCGAGAGCCUGAACCAGCCAAGUAGCGUGAAGGAUGACUGCCCUAUGGGUUGCAAACUUCUUUUAUAAAGGAAUAAAGUCGGGUAUGCAUACCCGUUUGCAUGUACUUUAUGAAUAAGGAUCGGCUAACUCCGUGCCAGCAGCCGCGGUAAUACGGAGGAUCCGAGCGUUAUCCGGAUUUAUUGGGUUUAAAGGGAGCGUAGAUGGAUGUUUAAGUCAGUUGUGAAAGUUUGCGGCUCAACCGUAAAAUUGCAGUUGAUACUGGAUAUCUUGAGUGCAGUUGAGGCAGGCGGAAUUCGUGGUGUAGCGGUGAAAUGCUUAGAUAUCACGAAGAACUCCGAUUGCGAAGGCAGCCUGCUAAGCUGCAACUGACAUUGAGGCUCGAAAGUGUGGGUAUCAAACAGGAUUAGAUACCCUGGUAGUCCACACGGUAAACGAUGAAUACUCGCUGUUUGCGAUAUACUGCAAGCGGCCAAGCGAAAGCGUUAAGUAUUCCACCUGGGGAGUACGCCGGCAACGGUGAAACUCAAAGGAAUUGACGGGGGCCCGCACAAGCGGAGGAACAUGUGGUUUAAUUCGAUGAUACGCGAGGAACCUUACCCGGGCUUAAAUUGCAGAUGAAUUACGGUGAAAGCCGUAAGCCGCAAGGCAUCUGUGAAGGUGCUGCAUGGUUGUCGUCAGCUCGUGCCGUGAGGUGUCGGCUUAAGUGCCAUAACGAGCGCAACCCUUGUUGUCAGUUACUAACAGGUUCUGCUGAGGACUCUGACAAGACUGCCAUCGUAAGAUGUGAGGAAGGUGGGGAUGACGUCAAAUCAGCACGGCCCUUACGUCCGGGGCUACACACGUGUUACAAUGGGGGGUACAGAGGGCCGCUACCACGCGAGUGGAUGCCAAUCCCAAAAACCUCUCUCAGUUCGGACUGGAGUCUGCAACCCGACUCCACGAAGCUGGAUUCGCUAGUAAUCGCGCAUCAGCCACGGCGCGGUGAAUACGUUCCCGGGCCUUGUACACACCGCCCGUCAAGCCAUGGGAGCCGGGGGUACCUGAAGUGCGUAACCGCGAGGAGCGCCCUAGGGUAAAACUGGUGACUGGGGCUAAGUC
rnacentral:rRNA from 1 species